GUCGAUCGCAGAAGAGAGUUUUUACAAGUGCCACCAGUUCGUUCUGCCGAGUGCAGAGACAGAAAUUUUCACAAGUGCCAUUGAAACGCCAUUUGUUAAAUUACCAUCAGGAGUGGGACCGAUUCGGAUGCCUGUAGGGGUAGGCUAUCCCUCUGCGUCCUGAUAUUUCGACUGUGGAUACCACGUGAUCAUUAGUCGAGUCGAACAAAGCUCACUAUUACCGAUACGCUGUGUACGGACAAAUCCAUACGUGAAAAGGCCUUCGAAAAAGGGCUUUUUUUCCUUAUUUCUUCAUAGCGAUCGGCAAGAGCAUACACCCGUAGGAAGGACAUCAGUGCGUGCGGCUGUGAGAUUCUUCUACGGCUGAGAAUUUCAGCGCACACAUGCGUGCUUCGCGAUUAAAUUGAGCCAUUGGUACCCAGCGGUGACGUGACGCAACUCGGACUGACAGGUUAUCAUCUUUAAUUACCCCUUCCACGGAGCUGGUUGAAAAGGCGCCAAAGCUGGCAUGGAUAAGUUUUCGUUUUAUAAGCGUUCGUGCCAUCUUGAGAUGGCAUAGCGGCUAUGUGGACGUCUCCCAGCUCGUGGACGAAAGGAUGCGCGGUCUAGUAAUACUCGCUGGUAGUGACAGUUAAUUAGGAACUAGGUGGUGAUGAAGUAAAUUUGUACGCUA